ACUCCUACGGGAGGCAGCAGUGGGAAUAUUGCACAAUGGGCGCAAGCCUGAUGCAGCCAUGCCGCGUGUGUGAAGAAGGCCUUCGGGUUGUAAAGCACUUUCAGUUGUGAGGAAAGGUUAGUCCUAAUAUCGGGUCUUAGCUUGUGACGUUUAGCAACAGAAGAAGCACCGGCUAACUCCGUGCCAGCAGCCGCGGUAAUACGGAGGGUGCGAGCGUUAAUCGGAAUUACUGGGCGUAAAGCGCGUGUAGGUGGCUUGUUAAGCCAGAUGUGAAAGCCCGGCUC
rnacentral:rRNA from 1 species